rnacentral:tRNA from 4 species
GCCCCCAUCGUCUAGAGGCCUAGGACACGAGCUUUUCAAGCUCGGUACACCGGUUCGAAUCCGGUUGGGGGCACUA